CAAGACGUAGCUUUAAACAAAGCAUUCAGCUUACGCCUGAAAGAUACUUGCUCACACCAAGUCGCCUUGA
rnacentral:tRNA from 1 species